rnacentral:lncRNA from 9 species
CGGCGGCGGCAGCAGCAGCUCGGGCUCAGCCGGGUUCUGGCUCCGCGAACCGGCGAUGAAUCAGCCCGAUUCCAUUCAAAAGAGUCGCCCGGGCCUCCGCCGCGAAGCACUUCCGGGUUCACUGCUCUGCUCCGGCUUCCGUUCCCCCGACGACCAAUUGGAGACGACUCUGGAGAUGGGCGAGCGUCCCAGGAGGAGCUGCCCGGACUGACAACGCCUGCCGCCCGCUUCCCCGGUCCCAGCUGGGAGGGCGGAGCGGAAGUUAGCGCCGAGACCGCUCCUGCACCUCCGACAUCCUCCCUUUUCUGCUCCCGCCUCUCCCUUCCCACUUCUGCGCGUUCUGCGAACUCCGAGAUCCGGGACGCAGGCCUACACAGCCUGGGAGGUGACUGGUUAGGAAAUGGAACUGCAGGUUUGGCCAUGUGAUUUUUCUCAGACCAAUCGAGUAUGGAUGGAAAAGAGAAUGUGCUGAGUUGAGAGACUUAAGAAGCAUGGCCAAGUUUUCAGCAGCCCGCUUGAACUCCGGCCACUUAUCAUGAGAAGAGUGGAAACCAGGCUUCUUGGAAGACUUCAAAUUAUGCCAAAUGGUCUGAUUUUACCAUAGAGGCUGGGCAACAUAAACCAUAAAUCUUGCUGGAUUUCUGCAAACUGCUGCGUGAAGCAUACAAACGGCAUUCCUGUCAAUGGGAGGAAGAGACAGACAGAAAUCAAGACAGAGACAGGCAGCACCCCCAGGACUUGAAGCGUGUUCCUACUGCAAGCUGUAGUGGAAGGAGAUGAUGACACCCAGAACAAAAUGUCUUUUUCAGGAGGAUGCUAAGGCUCUUGCUUUGUGAUCUCUGUGUAGAGAAAGAAUGAUCAGUGGAAAGGGCUUAAUUUCCACCCUUUUCUGGAAUCAAAAUGUAAGGGUUGUUGAGUUAUUUUUAAACUUCUUCCUUUAGAGUCCAUUGUUGUGUCCCAUAAAACAGACAAAACUCAGCCAUACAACAAAGACUUGAUCUGCAGAAGAGAAGGUAAUAAAGAGCAAGUCCUCUCCAGAGGGUAAUUAAUCCUUAGUCAUUCAUCCUAGAAGUCCCAGUUACAGUUAAGGUUAAUGUUCAGGUAGCUUCUUUCUAUUUUCUUUAAAAUUUUUUUAAACAUUUUUUUUUUUUUUUUUGCAGAAUGUUAUACUAUUAAUUGCCAAUUUGCAUAUGUGUGCAGCUGCUGUUUUGGCUCUGAACUCAAUCCGAUAAGCUUGCUGGAGGUAUCGCAGAGCACUUGGCAGCUUUCCUAUUUGAAAAGAAAGCCUCUCCCCACUACAGAACAGCUGAUCGUCUAUCAGCGAUAGACCCUGAUGGCGUGAAUUACAAUUACACUACUUUUCACACUAAAUCUGGGUGAUAGCUACUUGGAAAGAAGUUUCAUCAUUUUUUACCACAAACUGGAAAAAGAAUUACAUGGUCAUGCUGUGCUUUUAAAGGCAGUUUGGUUCACUUUUGUCUAUUUAACACCUAAUUCCAAGAAGUCCAUAGGCAUCCAGAGAUCUGAAUGGAGCGUAAUGAAUUCACUGUUUAGAUUGAAGAUUUUUAAAAUCUACCUCAAAUUACAUUUAUUAACAAGGCGACCAGGAAGUGUUAAAGUUGUUAGACGCUUCAUUUAUUAAAUAAUUUGUGGGUAUUUUCAGUUGUCAUAUCUAGAGUCAUGGGGUUUGCUUAUUUUUUUUAAUUAGCAAUCCAAAACAAUGCUACUGCAAUUUAACAAUUCAUCACUUAAUCUUGGGCUCUUCAGUUCAGCUGUGAAUGUUAGAUAAUUCAGAUUGUUAUUUUGAUCUGUUUAUAAAUGAUUUAGGUUGCAUUGUGCUGUGAGGAGGUUGCAGCAGCCGAGGCAGAUCUUUCUCAUCCUCCUUGCAUUGCUCAGGGUAGCUGAGGGACCUUCCAAAAAUGCAUUUGGGGAGUUUAGUGUCUAGCAGGAGGAAACCAGAGAGCUGGGGUCAGGGGACACUAAAAUGACUUGAUUUAUUAUCAUUACUUAGUUAACUUCUUUAUUAAUUUACGUGGCCCUCUCUGCUUGGAAAACUGAGGAAAGACCUCUUUGCCAAAGUGCAUCUUAUUAGUGUCCUCUCUCCCACUUCCUGGGAUGUUACAAAGUACCUUCUCUUCCUCUUCUGAGAACAGCCCAAUCAUCAGAAAAUGUAAGAGGCCCCUAAACAUCCCUCUUCUUCUCACUCUCCUCUCAAAUCUCUUCCCCUCCCAUCUUGACUUUUUUUUCCCCAUCCAUCUUGACAUUUAAAUCCAUUUGUUUAAAGCAAACAAACAAAACCAAAAAAAAAAAAAAAAAAA